GGCUCCCUGCGCCCUUCCCUCGGUCAUACAUGUCCCAGGGCCUUCGAGCACAUGGGGCAGGAGGGCCGUGCCAAUUAACUUCUCGAGAAAAAUAGCGGUUUGAAAACUCGGAGGACCUUUCCACAUCCUUCUCCCUAACGGAGCUCUCAGAGGGACAGGUACAGAGGUGCCGGAGCAGGCCGCAAAACAACCUGGCAUUUCUUUAACCUCUGGGGGCGGAAAGGCGGGCCGUCUUGGACAGACUAAAUUUUGUCUGCUCAGUGAAAAGCAGAAACCAGCACCAAGGACAAGCAGAAGAAGGGGAGGGAAGGCAAAUGAGGUGUGUGUGCGUGUGCGUGUGCGUGUGUGCUUUUUCCCUCCCUUGUGUUCAUCCCUCCAGGGGAGGCGGUUUGGAGCCAGCUCUUUCUCCGGCCACUUUGACCUCUCCUCCUGCGUGGACGUCACAGGUGCUGUUUCCAACCAGUGACCGCGGGUCGUCUCUGCUUCUCCAGCUACCCGUCAGCAUUUUGGUAUCCGUACCAGUGCCGUGGGUGUAGAAUUAUGACCCGUCACAGAGGAGAGAAGCCUGAGCCAGCCCGAACAUGAGGCACUCUGUAGGACUGAGUUCGCAGCCGCCCCGCCCACCCCAGACCCCUAGUCCCAGAGUGCAGCAGACUCUUGGCUUCGACAGAGUCCCCCUGCCCGCAUCUCCUUAGAGUUGAGUGUUUCUACUCCGCUUCUGAUCUCAUCCGGGGAGACGCUUGCUUUGUGUCUGAGGGAGGCUAUGCCACACAUGCACGCGGAUACAUUUGAACACUUUUCCUAUCACUGCUCUAUAUUUCUCUCUUUGAUUCAGAGGUUGGUUUGAUGAGCCAAACACAGCCAGUGUCAUCUUGACUGGGUAUAUGAUUUCAUGCCAUUUUGAAAAUCCUCUCAUGGUAUUUUUUUUUUUUUGGUGAGAAAGAUUGUUGCUGAGGUAACAUCUGUGCCCAUCUUCCUCCGUUUUGUAUGUGGGACACCAUCUCAGCGUGGCUUGAUGAGUGGCGCAGUUCCACACCCAGGAUCUGAACUGGUAAACCCUGGGCUGCCAAAGCGGAGUGCAAGAACUUAACCACUAUGCCACCGGAUUGGCCCCCCCUCACAAUUUUUUAAUUGAAGUUUUUAUUGAGAUAAUUGUAGAUUCCCAUGCAGUCAUAAGAAAUAAUACAGAGAGAUUCUGGGCACACUCUAUCCAGUUUCUCCCAAUGAUAAGCAUUUUAUACAACUAUAGUAUAACGUUGCAACCAGGAUAUUGAAUCUCUCACAGUUUCUAAGAGAAUUAAAAAAAUUGUUCCUGGGGAAGUUGGAGGGGCAGGGUGCAUGCUCCCCUCCCUUGGGCUUUGCCAGCACGGUACUUGCAGGCCUGGAGUCAGGACCCUGGACACGAAUCAGACCCAGCUCUGUCCUUGCAGCUCCUGGGUGGCCUCCCUGGGACCCAGCUUCCUCACCAGUAAGAUGAGGUUUGGGUGAGAAGGUCUUCAGCAUUUCUUCCAUUUCUACCGCUUUAAGAUUUUAUACAUAGCCCGUGACAGCCCCUGGGGCCAGCCAGCCCCGGGCUUUGUGAGCUGGAUUUGCUCUCACUCUGAGGCUGUGGAAUCACGGAGUGGGACGGCUCCAUUUUGGACACCUUUUCUGUUAUCUUCCCAGCGUCCACACUGCAUUUCCUCAGUGACUCUUCCCAGCCCCCAGCCCCUGGAUUCAGUGGGACAGACCCCCAGCCUGGGCUCGAGGGCUGGGCAUAUGACUGGCUCACUAGGUCUAAUGAGACUUUCCAUUCCUUUUCUGGGUUGGCUCAGGUUUGGGGGCAUGACCCAAGCCAUCCACUGAGAAGCCAUCCAGGGACGUUUGUUAAAAUGACAGGGGCGCCAAGGGUUAGGAUGCAGACCGCGGCUUCAGGCAGUCACCUGGCCACCUCGCUGGAAGAGCUUGGUCCGCGUUGGGUUGAAACAGAGGAAAGCAGAGCUGACAGAUGAAAAGAGAGGGAGGUGGACAACCGGAGUCCAGAAAUGUCAACUGAUCGACGGAAGGUCACACAACUGUUCCCAGUGGCCCUUGGAGUAGGUGGAGCCUCACUGUAUCCACUAAACUCAGGUAAGUAACAGUUAUUUCAUGCAAAAGGAACCAUCUACUGACUUCCCGCAUUUGGGUCUGCGGGCGGCUCUGCUGGGAGGCCGGAUUGAGGGAAAGACUUUGCAGCACCUGCAAACUUGGAAUUAGUGGUGAACUGGAGGGGGUUUCACUGGCUGUGAAGAUCUUGAAGGAGUUUACAGACAUGAUCUCAUUUGUUCUCAGCUGUAAUCGAGUGAAGUCACCUGAUGCACAAGUGUUUUCCUCGUUCCCAUGAGGAAUCCAAGUUAUGGCGGGAGCUGGGCCUCCUCCCCCCACGCCCACAGCCCAGUACAAUGUACAUGAGCUCCUCCCCCCACGCCCACGGCCCAGUACAAUGUACAUGAGCUCCUCCCACCUUCCAGCCCUGCUUGGUGGCCCAUCUUCUCUUCAGUCAUUGUCCAGAGUGACUCACAGACCUCACCCCAGGCCAUUUGUCAGUGAGACGAUUCAUCGAGAGGGAGACGAUAACGUCUAACCAGCUGGUCCAGGCCUCAUGAGCACCGAGUCUCGUAGAGUUCAGUAGGUAGAGUUCAUGGCAAGGGGUUCUCUCACCUCCUGUUCCUCCCUCAGGGGUCUUCUGGAAAGUCUUGGUACUCAUUGGGGCGGGAAUGGUAACCUUAGGACAGAGGCUUUCCACUGGGGAUGUGAGAUAGGCUCACCUGGAGAAGCUGAAAUCUGUCCAUCCGUCCGUUUAUCCAUCAUCUCUAUUUAUUUAGGUAGGUAAUGCGAGCUUAAGGUAAAAAAUUAAAACAGUGCUUCCUCAUCUGUAACAUAAGCAUCAUAAUAAUGUCCACCACAGAGAGUUAUGAUAACUAAAUCAAUUACUCCAUGUAAAGUGCCUGGCGCAUAGUAAGUGAAAAUGUGAUAGCUAUUAUUAUUAACAUAAAUCUUAUACUUCUACCCUCCAACCACCCACUUCCUUUCCCCUUAUAGAUUCCAGAGAUCAUCUACAUAUAUAGAUACGAGUAUAUAAACCCUCCCACCCCCAAGGUGGCAUCACUUGAGCAACUUCUCAGAACUACAGAAAUUUCUAGUGCUGGCCAGGGUUGGGAAUCUCAGGCUUGGAAGCUGAGUGAGACUCUGGGGACUAUCAGGAAGUUAGAGGUUGGAGCCACUAAGGUAAGAAGAAGUGACCACGUUUCCACAAGUGCCUAAGCUGGGAGGACUGCCUGGAAGAGGAAUUAAAUAUGCUCAAUAUGGCUGUGAAAGUCACAAUAACAGUAACAGAUGGAAUUGUGGGACAUCGGCUGGAGCUUAUGCUGUUACCUCAGAGCUCUGGGGAGAGCCGCAGGCUCAGGACGGUGGGCACUCAGAACUCCCAGAGCCCCGAGGGCCGCGAAGUGGCCAGCAGACCAUUCCCCAGGGCCUCCUUAGGGGGCAGAAAUGCUCUGGCGUCUUCACCGGACGUCCCCCUCCCUGGUGCGAGGGGAGAGGUCUGAAUCUGUAGGAGCCGUGAGUCAUCAGCCUCUUGGGGGUGACGCUUCAUUUUCUCUUCCCUCUUCCGUGGGGACGUCACCCUGCAACCCAGCGAGGGGCACCAGGACGACUCCUAUAGAGAAAGGAGGCGAGCGUCUCCCGCUCUGGGGGACACUGUCUGAGCUGAAAGACCUGUGGGCCCUUCUGGGCUGCCAGGGGAAGGGGAAGCUCGGACGGCCCGGCGGGGAUCCGCCCCUCUGGGGGCGCGCAGCCGAGCAGGGGCAGCGCCGAGGCCCCGGGGGCCGGCGCGUCCUGCGUGUCCCCUGGGGGCCGGCGCGGCGCCCUCUCCGGUUCGCUGGGGGCCGCAGGGCCCGGCGCCGCGAGCUUUGACGGGGCCCAAAGGGUUUCCGCAGCCUCGGUGAGGGGAAGAGGGGGCCCCUCUCCCUGUUCAGCCCCCGAGGCGCUGGCGCGAAGAGGGGCGUGCGGCCGGGCCAGCGGCGCUACCCCGGCCCGUGCUCUGGCCACCCCUGCAGGCUGAGCAGCACGAGGGCGGUGCCAGCGCCGGGCCGCGCUCCCGCGGAGGAGCCCGCUUGGCAGGUGGCCGGGGAAGAGCUGUGACAAGGCGGGGACUGAGACAGCCACGGGAGGGGAGCCCGUCAAAGGCGCCCUACUUAGCGGGGUACUGCUGCGGGCCACGUGGCUCAGCCCCACCUCUGAGUUGUCCACUAAGGGUCAAGCUGGGUAUCCAUCCUGCGGCUCCCUCUGUCACCGACUGGGCGCUGCUCCCGGGUGUCCGCCCUCCCCCCUCAUCUGGUGGCUUCACCAGUGGGAGCAAAGUCCUGAUGCCAUGGGUGCUUGUAGGGGGUCCCUUGGUAUGUGCUGGAGGGAGGAGGGCCCAGGGCGGGGCACUGGCAGCCUGUGCCACCCGGCAGGAGGCUUACCUAGGAUAGAGAUUCACGUUUUGAAGUGAGUUGAGUUGGACUGAGCAAGACUGGAUUGUUUCAUCCCUAAAAGUGACCGGGAAGCUGUGGGGCCAGCUGGCAAGGAGGGUAAGGGACAGAAAAGGGAGAUUCAGGAGAGCGUAUGCGAAGGCAGGAACAGGAGAAGGUAAAGCUGCUUCAGGUCACUUGUCGAGUCUGGACUGCGAAAGGCUCUGACGCCCCUGCCGUGGGUGCCCACCAAGUGCUGCGAGGACGGCCAAGUGCUUGUGUCAUCUCGUCCACAGCCACCUCAUGAGGCCGCCUUGCGGUUCCUGCUGUCUCCCGGAUGGGUGGGCUGGGCUCGGGGAGGCUAAGUGACCUUCCCAGAGUCACUCAGCUGCUUGGUGGCCCAGACCCACGCUCUUCACCAUGUGGCAGAGACUCCUGGCUGCCUGUCUACUCUCCACUUCCUCUUUCUUCCUUCAUGGCAGAACUUUGGUUUUCUUUCAGGUGACAGUGUGUCUAGCGACAUAACCACAUUUUCCAGAGUCCUUUGCAGCCAGGGGUGGCCAGUGAGAUACAACCAGAGGCUUUUCGGUGGGACUUCCAAAGAAUCCCCUUGAGAAGCAGACGUACAGGUAGCACGUGCCUUUAUGCCCUUCACUAUUCUUUCUGCUUCUUCCCUGAACCACGGACGUGGUGUUGAGUUCUAGCAGCCAUCUGGGGCAACGAGAUACCUUUGAGAACGGGCACCGCGUACAAAGGACCAUGGAGAAGAAAGUCUGCAGAAGCCUGGGUCUCUGGCGACUUUGCCCUAAGCUGCCCACCUCGUCAGCCUGUACACGCCACGUACUUUCUGGUCUCUGUUACUAGCAGGUGAAGCAGGUUGUAACUGAUACAAUCACUGAGCUCCCGAAUUUUCACAGUAAGGAGCACUUGACACGUUCCAUGUCUGCAGGAAAUAUUGACUGAGGAAAUUCUCUUGGACCAGCCCCGAAUGGAAGGCACUGGGGAGAGGCCCUGAAGCAGCCCUCUUCCUUCUCUCAGAUGCCAGCACGGUCGCCUCAGCCCAGAGCCGCCCUCCCUCCUCAUAACUGUCAAAGCCCUGCCGCCUCGACCAUGGGUGUGACAUCGGCUCCCCCACCUUACCUGGGGACGCCUCGUGUUUCGCUGUGUGACUUUGAAAGGGCUGAAAUUCCUCAAGGACAGCGUCGUGUCUUGUAAAUUGUGUGCUCUACUCUGCAUGCCUACCUCAGGGAUUCUGGGCUAGGCAGGCAAGCCGUCAGAGAUUGUAUUGGCACAAGGAUGUGGAUGUCUCCUAUAGGAAGCGGUGGCCAGGCCUUUGGGGCUGAUAGGAAGAGGCCUGGGACUCUGAUACGGAGACUCCUGAAGUAGGAAGAGGGUCAAAAGCUCUGGUGGGAGGUCUCAAAGUGAGGAAACCAACUUUGAGCGAAAGAAACGGGCCACUUGGGGGAAUUGUUGACUGUUAGUAAGAAUAUUUUUGAGUACCCCAAGAUGAUGUUAUUCAUAUGAUGCUCCCCAUCUCUCUCUCCGUGUGUAUGAAGUUCUAAGAAUUUUGAGCAAGAAGUUGGUGUGUCAGUCAGAACUCUGUGCCUGAGACUGUAAGAUCCACACGUGUUCCUUUCAUUGGCAAAGUUAUGUGGAAGCAUAUAGCAAAGGGGAUUCUGGAAAAAUACAGCUUCCAGCCUUCGAAGGGAGUGAUGAUGGUGCCAAGUUGACUACAGGCAGGCCCGCCCAGGAAUGCAGACUUUUUAGACUGCCCAUCUUUCACUAUUUUGUGCGGUCUUUCACGGAAGAAUUACACGAGAACAUGAUUCUUGAUUCCAAGGAAUCUGAAAUAGUGCAGACCAAACUCAGGUCCACAAGCAUAACUGUGCCUUGAAAAAGCUGGAUGUGACAUGGCGAAUCCUCCCUAGGAAGAAACUUCCUCCUUUCCCAGCUCCCAGGAUGAGAUGACCACAACUCACUGUAGAAAAUCCCCGCAGUUCUGCUGACAAGUGGAGUGCGUCAGAAGGUCCCCGGACAGCUUUGCUGGCUCGUCUGCUUCUGGUGCCACUUCCUGCUCUUCUUCAUGAGAAUUAUUUGUAAGGAGACAGUCACAUUAAAAAAAAAGAUUCGAUAAAA
ensembl:lncRNA